AGUUUUCCGUUACACCGGAUACACACCAGAUGCGGGUCGCUUACGUCACGUCCGUAGCCUUUUACGCGCGUAGAUUUAAAAAGCUCAAUUCACAUCUGGGGCGCCAGGUGCAGCGUCGCCUAUUCCCCAGCUCUGUCGCCCCUUUGCUCGUUUUGGAAUACAACUCGAUUUGCAUACUAAAAGUCGGUUACUUAAAAGUAGCCCCAUUAAACGGUCUAAAAGGCUUCCAUGUUGGUGUAUUCCCUUUUUAGUGUGUUCUAAAAUGUGUAAAGUAACAAAAGACAUCUCCAGAAAGUUCAAUGAGUGCUCCAAGCCUCGGCUGGGGCUUCCGUGUAGAAGGCAAGGAAGCCGGGGGAAUGCAGGAAGUUGGUAGGGCAUGGUCUGCUAUCAUGUUAAUAAGUGUUACAUGUUAUGUUAACGGCGAGUGGUCGUUUCGCCACUUUCAGUGACACAGUAUAACACAAUAUUGAGAAUAUAGACGCCUUGGAAAGUACACGAAUUAGACGAAACAUAAAUGGUAAGCUAAAGAUGUCAAUGUUAAGGUUGCGAAAUUUGUAUAAUACUGGGUUAAUCGUCGUGCUUUUAUUGUGAACGUUGUGACGGAAACAGUCCUGACGAAAACUAACUUGACUGUAGCUGGCCAACUUCAGUAUGGCGGUCAGCUAACGGAAGCGAGGGGCGUCUUGAUGUUCCAUGAUGAUGGUGGUGACGUUAAAAUAAGGCGCGUCGGCACUUGGAUGAUUAUGCUCGGAAGCGGCGCUGUGGUCGACUCGACUGUUUCCAACAUAAGCAACAGGAAUAGCCUUUCGGAACAGACAACUCUUCUGUGGUGCCUCCGCCUGUCGACUGACCCAGACGGCUAGCAUUGAGAUGGCAGCUGCAGUCCAAGGAAGUUGGAAUUGAUCACCAUUACAAUUUUUAUUGACAACAUAAUAGCCAAAACAGCUCCGCAUCGUUCUUAGCGGAAAUCACAAAGGGCGGCAUAGCAACACCCACUCAAAGAAGGAUGUCCUUUUUUAAUUUUCGCAAGAUUUUCAAGUUUGGGCCCGACAGGAAGAAGAAGCAGUACGAGCAUGUGCACAGAGACGUUAACCCUGAGGAGAUUUGGGACAUCAUCGGGGAACUAGGCGAUGGAGCCUUUGGGAAAGUCUACAAGGCCCAGAACAAACAAAAUGGGACCCUCGCUGCCGCCAAGGUUAUUGACACAAAGACGGAGGAUGAGUUGGAGGACUACAUGGUGGAAAUUGAUAUUCUGGCGUCUUGCAGCCACCAUCACAUUGUCAAACUGCUGGACGCCUUCUAUUUCGAAGGGAAACUCUGGAUCCUCAUUGAGUUCUGUGCGGGCGGCGCAGUGGAUGCCAUUAUGCUGGAACUGGAGAGGCCCCUGACUGAGCCUCAGAUUCGUGUGGUGUGCAAGCAGACCUUGGAGGCCUUGGUCUACCUCCACGAGAACAAGAUCAUCCACAGAGACCUGAAGGCCGGCAACAUUCUCCUCUCCCUGGAUGGAGAAGUGAAACUUGCGGAUUUUGGGGUUUCUGCUAAAAAUACAAAGACGUUACAGAGGAGGGAUUCUUUCAUCGGCACGCCAUACUGGAUGGCCCCAGAGGUGGUGAUGUGUGAAACGUCCAAGGACCGUCCGUACGACUACAAGGCCGACAUCUGGUCCCUCGGGGUGACCCUGAUCGAGCUGGCACAGAUUGAGCCACCCAACCACGAGAUGAAUCCCAUGAGAGUACUGCUGAAAAUAGCCAAGUCCGAGCCGCCCACACUCAUGCAUCCCUCCCGCUGGACACCAGAAUUCAGUGACUUUCUCCGCAAAGCACUUGACAAGAACGUGGACAAUCGGUGGGGCCCGCUGCAGCUUCUACAGCAUCCUUUUGUCGCCAGCGUCGUCGACAGCAAAGCCCUGCGAGAGCUUAUUGCAGAGGCCAAAGCUGAAGUCACAGAGGAGCUUGAGGAUAGCAAAGAAGAGGAAGAGGAGGAGGAGCCUGAUACACCGCUGUCCGAUCCUGGACACAAGCGAGCACCAUCAGAUGCAAGUAUGGUGAGUUCAGAGGACGACAAAGUUCCAGCCACUCUCUCAAUGCUGGAAUCAGUCACAGAAAAGACAGAGGGGGAGCCCACCAAAGACCAGACCACUGAUAAACUCUCUAUUGACACUCUUGGAACAAGUGAGGUCCACAAGGUGGAAAAAAAGCUCAAUCAGUUGCCCGACACCAGUAAUGAAGACACAGCUUCAGGGUCGAUGGAGAAGGACUUGGCCUCAGAGCGUAUGGAGCCAGAAGGACGAGCUGAUGACAUUUGUGCAUCAGAGGAAGGUGUUUUAGAAGGAGUGGCGGCUGAUAGUCAGAGGGAAGAAAGAAAUGAUGAUUGUGGACAAGUGUUACAAGUUCAGCAAGCGCCCGAAGAGGUGACCAAAGAAGAGCUUGAAGGACAGUCAAAUCAGCAACUCACUGAAGAGCCACCUGAGGAUGUACGUGCCAAAGCAGAAGCGGAGGAAGUUGGCAAACCAGAGGAGAUGUUUCAGCCCGAGCUGACUGCUACGGCUAAUGAUAUAGAUGAUAAUAUCGACAGUGGAGGUAAUGAAGAAGCACACGUAGUGGACACAAACACAUAUGAAGACACACAAACAAAGCCGAGUGAGUACCAGUCACCCAUUCCUCUGCUUGAGGAGACAUCUGAGCUGCCCGAUAAGCUUCUCCAAAGUACAAAUGGUGUGUGUGAUGACACCAUUUACCCCUCUGAGGAUGCAGGACAAGAGCUCCCAAUCAAGGAAGAUGAGGAAAGCACUCCAGCAGAAGACGGCAGUGUCCCUGAGAGCAGAAGCGACUCUGAGACCAAGACGGAGCAGGGAAGUCCUGCCAUGGCAUGCCAGGAUGUGGAGAAGGACUCUGAUUCCGGAAGUAGCUCAGCUGCUGACAGCAACAGUCUUGACCUCAAUUUGUCCAUCUCCAGCUUCCUGUCCAAGAGCAAAGAUGGGGGUUCGGUGUCUGUACAGGAGUCAAAAUGUCAGAAGAAGACUCUGAAAAAGACACGUAAGUUCAUGGUGGACGGCGUGGAGGUCAGCGUGACCACAUCGAAGAUAGUGACAGAUGACGACGCCAAGAAUGAGGAGAUGAGGUUCCUGAGGCGGCAGGAGCUCAGAGAGCUGCGCCUGCUGCAGAAGGAGGAGCAGAGAGCCCAGCAGCAGCUCAGCAACAAACUGCAGCAGCAGCGAGACCACAUCUUGCGACGCUUUGAACAGGAAGCAACAGCAAAGAAACGUCAGUGUGACCAGGAAGUGGAGGGCCUGGAGAAGAAGCAGAAACAGACCAUUGAACGCCUGGAGCAGGACCACACCAGCCGACUGCGAGAUGAAGCCAAACGCAUUAAGGCAGAUCAGGACAAGGAGCUGUCCAAGUUCCAGAACAUGCUAAGGAACAAGAGGAAAGAGGCGGUCGCCCAGGUUAUGAUACAGUCUUUUCAGUUGUCCUCAUGCGCACUCUUCAAUGCUCAGAUGCAGGAUGAGCAGGAGUUCCUCCAGAAGCAGCAGCAGGAGCUGGAUGGAGAGCUGAAGAAGAUCAUCCAGCAGCACAAAGUGGAGAUCGCCACCAUGGAGAAGGACUGCUUGAACCACAAGCAGCAGCUGAUGAGAGCUCGGGAGGCGGCCAUGUGGGAGUUGGAGGAGCGUCACCUGCAGGAGAAGCACCUGCAGCUCAAGCAGCAGCUGAAAGACCAGUACUUCCUGCAGCGGCACCAGCUGCUCAAGCGUCACGAGAAAGAGAUGGAGCAGAUGCAGCGCUACAACCAGCGCUUGAUUGAGGAGAUGAAGAACAAGCAGACCCAGGAGAGGGUUCGCCUGCCCAAGAUCCAGCGCAGCGACGGCAAGACGCGCAUGGCCAUGUUCAAGAAGAGUCUACGCAUCGCUGCCUCGGCCGUCGUCACCCCGGAGCAGGAGAGAGAACGCAUUAAACAGUUUGCUUGUCAGGAAGAAAAGAGGCAGAAGAACGAGCGUCUCCAUCAACACCAGAAACACGAGAACCAGAUGCGAGAUCUUCAGCUGCAGUGUGACUCCAACAUCAGAGAGCUGCAGCAACUACAGGUCUCACUCUCCAAGGGUUGUACAAACGUCACAUCAGGGCUGGUCAUUAUUGGGCCGACAUCAUUGGAUGGAAUACACCAGCACCAUGUAAUGUGGGAUUGAACGCUCUCAAAUAUUUACUCCAUGCUGCACACACUGCAAGUUCCAAGUGGCCAUGAUCUGGCUGGUACUGGAAAUCAUACACAGCGUCCUCCAUCGUUACUGGCACCCCACUUAGAUUUCUUCUUUGGAUUCUAAUAAAUUAUUUGUUUUUAUAAAAAAAAGGACCACAAUGAAAAUGGAAGAAACAUUUAUCCUUCAACUAAAGUCAAUUAUAAGGAAAAAAAAGAAAUAAUACCAAAAAAAGACCUGCCCCACAAUGAUAGGCACAUUAAAUGUCACAUGAGCAUUUGUGUCAUUUCUACAGUUGAGAACAUGGAGGAGCAUUUCAUGAGUCCUUCACCACUUCCCGUUUCCUUGGGGUGUAAAUAUGAGGUGACCAAAAGCCAUUUCGAUCCUCUAAAGAUGGGAACACAGCAUUCAAGUUACCCGAGGAACCAUCAGCAAGUUCAAACACGUGAAAGUGGUGAACACGCCUGGACCAGGAUGCAUGUUUAUUUUGAGGAGGAUGCAAAACGAAGUAACAGCUCACUGUUGAAUAAUGCUAGCGUCUCAGGCUCCAAAAUAAGCAUCGGGUGCCAAUGCUUAUGGAGCGCACUUGUUCAAUAUGGCAAAGAUUAGGACCCCUCAACACCAACGCAACACCUGCGUCACAUUCAUUGCACACAUACUUCAUGUAUGAGCUCCAACUUCGUGUAUGUAUCCAAAUGUUGUAAUGUUCCUGCCUCCAGUUCUGCCGAAUGGAAGCGUGCUCACACGUGGUUCGGGUUACUGGUCCAGCAGUGCCCUGCAGGGCCUCAGUAAUAAUCCUCCUCCAUGUUCCAGAAUGAGAAAUGUCACCUCCUCAUUGAGCAUGAGACCCAGAAGCUGAAGGAACUGGAUGAGGAGCACAGCCAGGAGAUAAAGGAGUGGAGGGACAAGCUAAGGCCCAGGAAGAAGGCCCUAGAGGAGGAGUUCACACGCAAGCUCCAGGAGCAGGAGG